CGGAAAAAACGAGAAGGGAGAGUGUUAACUAGGGACGAAGAUGGGAAUGCGAUGGCUAUUUGCUUGGAUUCUGAGCUAAAAAUAUGAAAGGGAGGGGAGAGGACAGGCUAGAAUGUGAGUUUCCUCCAGUUAAAAGUGAAAGUGUUUUGCCAUCAGUGACAGUUGAAGGAGAGCGGGGUGGGAGGUGGUGUUUUCAACCCCCUUUCUCCCUCUCUCCCGUCCUCCCUCGGUCUCUCCUCUUUCUUUCUGCACUUUGUCCAAUGAAAGAAGGCGAGUUCGGGAGGUGAAAGUUCAGCAGAAGGACAAACCCCUGUUUGCAAGGAAACAGAAACCCCGCCAGCCAGCGAGGGGUUUUCUCCCCUGUUUCUCGGAAUCAGGAGAGUGUGAAUGUGGGACGAGCUUCUGCCCCCUUGUCAGAGCCACUGCAGGAAUGUGCAAUCGAGUCCACUUUGGGGGAAGGUGGCUGCAUCAGGAACUGUGUUCUUGCCACGACUCCUCUUAGGAAAACGCCUGGGGGCUAGCAUGUCAGUCCGUUGUUUAACACAAAUUACCUGCUCUCCCAGUGAUCAGUCACGUGCAAAAAGCUUUGUCCAAUUCUUUGAAAAGGUUAAGCAGUGUGUUUAUUAAAAAUUAUUAUCAUCGCAAUACUAAAAAGAUCUUUAGAUUGCUGCUAAUCUGAUUCUGCAUUUUAACUGCCUUAAAUUCUACAUUCACUUGCAAGUGGGGGCCACAGUCAGGUUGGCAACAAGUUUUGCAGACAAAAGGAAAUCCUGGUUGUAAAUCCCAUGAUAUAUUGUACUCAAUUUUGUAUGAUACUGUCUAAUGUGCUGUGCUGCCUUAUUAAAGAACUCGAUGUCCAUUUGGUUUACAUUAGAGGGAAACUUAACUGCAGCUUAACAUAUUGUUCAUUUUCAACACUGUCACGUUACAUUCGUGGGGGGCAGAUUUUAAUUUCUUUAUCAGUAAUCAACUGGAAGUUUCUUUUUGUUAAAUUAAAGCAAGAAAGGUUUUAAAAUAAAGGGCAUGGGGGUAGGACGCCACCUUUUGGUGAUAAAACAAAUAGAAAUCCCUUCUGAAAACAGAUGUUCCUGACAUAAUUUUAUUUUUAAUUACACCAAGGCAAAGGUGCUUGUCCCCAUUUCGUUAUAUUUUAAGUAACAGGAGAAAAAAAAAACCAAUGUAAAUGCAAAAUUAGCAAAUUAUAGUUAACUGCAGCCAAAAUUUUCCCAAACGUAUCAGAAUAUGUUAGUCCCCUGUCACAUUACUGUUGAUUGUAUACACCAAACAUGAGCUUCAUUCACCAAAUACCAUGUCACUAAAUAUAUGUACAUUUGGGGAACAGAAACUGGAGUGGACAUUUACCACCUGACGACGUACCUGAAUGCUCUUGUAAGUUUUGAGUUGAACAAAAACUAAAACCACUUAAUUUAGUGUUUCUUUAACCACAGUUACUGGUGUCCUGAUUUUUGCCAUAUCUAUAUGACAUAACAGUUCCCGAAUAAUUAAUAUACCAUACUCAUUGGAGGCCACUUAUUAUGGUAAUUGUAGCAAACAUUUUCAUUUAAAUCAACCUUCUUUUAAUUUUUUUCUAUUACUGCCUUAAAUGGGAAAUCAGUAUCACCCACCAUAAAUUAAAAACAAGCACAGUAAAAACAAAGUCACUGAUUUCUCUUUGAGGGUCAAAACAAAAAUUAAAAAUGAUUUUUGAAAAAAGGAGGGAGAGUGGCAAAUGUUGAGAAGGGUUAAGGACAAGAGUAUCAAUGGAAAUUUUUGAAUUUUUGUUUUUUCUCUCUCUUUUUUUCUGUUUUUUUUUUUUUUUUUUUUUUAACAACCAGAAGGAUUUAAAGUGAUCGGAAAGGAAUACAGUUCUCAAUGUGUGAUUCAGUGUUAUGCCAUCCUAGUGCCAAGGUUCCUACACUUUAAAAAACAUGGGCAUAACUAAGAAUAUCGCAUUACAGAUGAGGAAUCUAAGGCCCAGGGAUUUCAUUUGCCCUCCAAGGCAAAAUAAAUUUGGUUACUGGUUGGACAAGGAUUAGAAUCCAGGUGUCCUGACUUUGUGGGUUUCCAUCUCACUCUUUCCACUAAAGUGACCAAUCCUCAGACUUAAGUGGUUUGUCUAGCUUCUCAGAAACAGCUAACCUACAGACCCCUUUACAGAUCUGGGAGAAACUGAGGCCACAGAGGGUCAAGAACAAGUUCAACCCCCUGCUCACCGUCCUUUCUCUCCACCCUCUCUCCAUAGAUGUGACAGACAUCCAGGUGGGGGUCAACACAGCAAAGAAAGAAGGGAGGGUUGAGAAGAGAAAAGUGGAUUCAGAGAGGGGAGGUUAGUAAGCGUGGGCAGACCAUUCUCUAAAUGAAAGCUUAAACUCAGUUGCCUUCCAAGAAGAUAAAAAUGGCUAAUGAAAAUCAUGUGCUUCACAGUAAGUGGUAAGAGGAGCCCAUCCUCUGUGUCCUCAUGUCCCUAUAUGUCCACACCGGAAAUCAGCAGGGGAUCUCUUGUUUUAAAGUAUACAAUAUUAACAGGCACACUCUGAGACAAAACCACAUUUGAUAAUUUGAGUGGGUGGAAAAGCUAGUCAGGGAACGGGGAAUGACCCUAGCUUAAAAAGUGUUUUCCCCCACAACAAAACUUAAGAGGCUCAGAGUUAAAUCUAGAAACAAUAGUGCUUUUUCUGUUUUUCUAACUGGAGAGUGAGACCUUAGUUACCAAGACUGCACUUGCUGCUUUUUUUUAAAGUAUGCAGUUAUAUAAACAUAAAUAAAUAUGGCCUGCAA
rnacentral:lncRNA from 10 species